GGCCGGGUGCCCGGGAAGUGGGAGCGGGCGCAGCCCUGCGAGAAGGGUCCUGAAGUGCGACCCUUGCGUGGUGGACACGAAGUAGGGUCAGACACUCACGAGGGAUCUGGGGGUCCCGGCCCCUGCGCAGUGAGCGGAGGUGUGCAUGCGUCCUACCACUGGGUACGGUGGUGGGCACGAAGUGCAGUGGGACUGCCACACCGUAUUGUCUUGCGCAGCUACCGGUCCUGGCAGCCCGACCCUGCCGCCAAGUGCGAGCCAGUACUGCGGAGGCCCAGCAGGACUUGAGAGCUGCAGAAGGCAAGGGGAGAAGCGGGGGCCCAGAACAGCCUGGAGAUGGUUUGCCCCUGGGUGCCCACCUGGCUGCCUGGGUCGCUCCUCUGCAAGGCCUGGCCCUUGCCCCACUGGUGCCAGCUAGUUAUGUGGACUGCAGUGGACAUCAGUAUUGUGUCACCUGGGGACACAGGGAAUGUGGAACGAGGGAGGACGCCGGGGCCCAAGAAGGAGAAGGAAAUGACUUGGCCUCAGCCUGGAGUGAGGCAGGGGCGUAUCGAGGAAUUAGGAAAGGGCUUGGUUCUGGUGGUGUUACCGCUGUUGACCGGUGACGAGUUCUUGCUUCCCCAAUGUUGAAGAAUAACACCAAGAAGCACCGAGGCAAGGUCAGAGUGAAAUUAGAAGUUUAUUAAAGGACAGCAGAAAAGACUUCUCCCGGAGGAAGAAGGGGACCCAAGAGGUGGAAUCCGUGGAAGUGCGGUUGUUUCCCCUUUUUAUAGUUUUGGUGAUGGAAUGUAGGUGGAAGGCCCCAGGGGUGGGACACAGGUGGGCAAAGAAGUAGUCUGAGCAGGAAGGACUUCAUUAACACUUCUUUGGGAUGGAUUUUGGCCUAGGGCCUUUUCAGGACUUCAUUAACAUUCCAUGAGCUGUCCUGCGUUUCCUGGAAUCAUUCUCAGCAUGGCCUCCAUUUUAGAUUUCACUCGGUAUUAGACCCGAUUUAUCUAACUACACUGACUGCCUCACUUUAAAUCUGGCUUCAGUGGGAUCUGGGUAUAGGAGUUGGUUAGACUCACCAUGGGGGAAGGGAAGGGGCCUGCUAUAUUUGGACAGAUACACGCUGGGAGCUGCCUGGGCUAGCGUCUCAGAAAGAUCCAGCCUCCCCCUCACCCUCUAGGGCUGCUCCUCGGUGGACACUGGUCUGGUCCACUCCAAGGUGCUGCCUCACUGUCCCAGCAGAAGCAGCCCUGAGGGGAGGCGAAGGGGGGCAUCUGAUGCUGCAACUUUCGGAAGGUGGGGAGUCAGUGCAGUUGGCCUGAGCUGGGGAGGGACAGACUCCCUUGAUUAUUGAGUGAGGAUUCCAUCCGUGUAAAAAUGGAGAUCUCCUCUGUGUAGAAGACAAAGCAUCGGCUGGAGAUGUGGCUCAAGCGGUAGCGCCUGCCUGGCAUGUGUGCGGCCCGGGUUCGAUCCUCAGCACCACAUACAAACAAAGAUGUUGUGUCGGCCAAAAACAAAAAAAAUAAUAAAUAUUAAAAUUCUCAAAAAAAAAAAGCAUCAAAAAAUAGGUAGCCAAGGACAGAGGCAGGGAGGUUUGUCCCAUGGAGAUUUCCUUGUGUCUGAUCCUCCCUCUCUGUUGGACCCGGGUUAGGUUAUCAGUGCCCUCCUUUUACAAUGAGGACUAAAUUAUGGAAACAAAGGCCACCCCAUGAGAACCAACACUUAGAAAGCGGGUCUAGUAAAGGCUUGCUGGGCAAGGGGCUGAUGGCCCUCAGCAGAGAUUGAAGGUAGGCAGGGGAAGGGCCUCACUGUGGACAAAGUGAGGCGCGGCUGUGUCUUGGUGGUGCUCACUAGAAGAGGCUCUAUGCACUUGACUUAAGGGGCAUAUUUGAGGUGGCUGGUCAGUCCUAAGUUGGAAGUGGAGACAGACAUUAAGAAGCAGCUGUCCUGGCCUAUCUGGGCCAAGAGCAGCACAUAACUGACCCAGGGUCUGGCCUGCUGGCAACUCAAAGCCACUCCUGGAGAAGCAAGCAUUGGUAGGAGGGAAUUAGGUUUAUUUAAGGGUGGGCACCUUGGGAGAUGGAGGGGCUAUCAUUCUCAAGGUUCAGUCUUGGGGGCUCAGGGGUGCACAGGGCUUUUAUAGGGAGAGUAUGGAGUGUGGGUCUCCUCCUUAAUUGGUUAGAAUGGCUUGAUGGAUCUUGACCUCCUGGGGCUGGUUUCUGUAGUUUAUUUUUGGUGCUUGUGAUUGAACCCAGGAUGCUUUACCACUGAGCUACAUCCUCAGGCCUUGGUAUUUAUUUAUUUAUUUUGGUACAAGGGAUUAAGCCCAGAGGUGCUUAACCACUGAGCCACAUCCCCAGCACUUAAAAUUUUUUUUUUUUUUUUUAGUUAUAGGUGGACACAAUACCUUUGUUUAUUUUCAUGUGGUGCCAGGGAUUGAACCCAGUGCCUCAUACAUGCUAGGCAAGCACUUUAUCACUAAGUCACCACCCCAGCUUUAUCCCCAGCACUUUUUAUUUUGAGACAGGGUCUCACUAAGUUGCUUAGGGCCUAAAUUGCUGGGGCUGGCCUCGAACUUGUGAUCUUCCUGCCUCAACCUCCUGAGCUGCUGGGAUUUCAAGGGUGCACCACCACACCUGGCUUGUUUUGUUUGUUUGUUCCUGUGAUGCUGGGGACUGAACCCAGGGCCUCACAUAUGCUAGGCAUGUGCUCUACUCCUUUGAGGCGGGUCUAAGUCGCCUCCUCCUGCCUGGCCUGCUGGGUAGCUGGGAUCACAGGCCUGCACAGCUGGCUGUGGAGUACUUCAGACAGAUUGCUUUCUUGCAGGUUACACCUCAGAGCAGUUGACACAAAGCUAAAGACUUAGGAAGGGCGCUAGGAAAGUUACCGGAGGCUCUGGUCUCCAUAAGUCUAGAAGUUAUGGAACAGUUAACAUCAUAACCAUUUAGGUGGGGCUUCUUUUUGGAGCUUGGAACUCAGGGCUGAGGGGCGGGGGCA
rnacentral:lncRNA from 1 species